rnacentral:rRNA from 1 species
AUUGAACGCUGGCGGCAGGCUUAACACAUGCAAGUCGAGCGGGGGAAGGUAGCUUGCUACCUGACCUAGCGGCGGACGGGUGAGUAAUGCUUAGGAAUCUGCCUAUUAGUGGGGGACAACAUCUCGAAAGGGAUGCUAAUACCGCAUACGUCCUACGGGAGAAAGCAGGGGACCUUCGGGCCUUGCGCUAAUAGAUGAGCCUAAGUCGGAUUAGCUAGUUGGUGGGGUAAAGGCCUACCAAGGCGACGAUCUGUAGCGGGUCUGAGAGGAUGAUCCGCCACACUGGGACUGAGACACGGCCCAGACUCCUACGGGAGGCAGCAGUGGGGAAUAUUGGACAAUGGGGGGAACCCUGAUCCAGCCAUGCCGCGUGUGUGAAGAAGGCCUUUUGGUUGUAAAGCACUUUAAGCGAGGAGGAGGCUACCGAGAUUAAUACUCUUGGAUAG